AAAACAUUGCGUAUGUAUUGCAUCGCAAAUUGAUUUGACCAUCUACGACGCAUAAAAUUCGACCAAAACAUUAUGCAUCAUCCUUAUCAGUGCAGAUAAUGCAAUUGUCAACACGUGCGUCGUACUCUCCAAUUGUUAUAAAAUGAUGACAUUCGCAUCUAUUUCUCACUCUGUUUGAUCCUUCCAAGUACUUAAUUUGUUUUAACUAACUUGUUCACACUACUGUCUAUAGUCUGCCUAAAUUAUAGUGCCAAAUAAUUGAUCACGGAAAUGAAGUCGUACUAUUUCACAUCAAUUGUCGUCCUAUUAGUGAUUGCCCUCCACUGUUCGGAUGAAGUGGAUAUUUCAAAUCCGCGAGGAACAUUGGCCAUGUACAUGAAAGAGUUGGAAGUAGCCUUGCGACCUGGCGAGGACCGGAUAUGUUGCCCGUGUUGUUAUCCAUGCGAUCUUUUCCCCUGUGGGUGUUGUUGCUAUUGUUCAAAAGACGAGUUUCUUGGCAACAUGACAUUGGCUCUGGAAAAUAAUGGGUAUAAUCUGGAGAAAUAAAAUAUCAUUAUAGCGAUGGUCAUGUGGGAGGAGCAUAAUUAUACCGGAAGUGCUGCCGGCAAACGCUUGCACAGUUACUAAUACAAUUAAAUUAGAUAUAGAUAGGUUGCAUAUAUCCUGGACCACUUUUCAUUUACAGGAAUAGCGUCAAGCCGAACAAUUAAUUAUUGAUAUUCCAUUCCAUUUAAGACAUACAUGUUUAUUUAUAUGAAAAAGGCAUUAAAAAUUACUUUAUUUGUAGCAAAGUUAAUUUCGUUAAAACGGAUUAUAUAAAACUCGUAGUAAAAUGUACAAGUAUUUGGUCAUCAGGUUUCAUCUAAUGGUGAUCUUUCUAGUCACUCCUUUGUAUUCAAAAUAAACCCUCGCAAACGCGCA